CCUGAUCCAGCAAUGCCGCGUGAGUGAAGAAGGCCUUCGGGUUGUAAAGCUCUUUUGUCAGGGAAGAAACGGUGAGAGCUAAUAUCUCUUGCUAAUGACGGUACCUGAAGAAUAAGCACCGGCUAACUACGUGCCAGCAGCCGCGGUAAUACGUAGGGUGCAAGCGUUAAUCGGAAUUACUGGGCGUAAAGCGUGCGCAGGCGGUUUUGUAAGUCUGAUGUGAAAUCCCCGGGCUCAACCUGGGAAUUGCAUUGGAGACUGCAAGGCUAGAAUCUGGCAGAGGGGGGUAGAAUUCCACGUGUAGCAGUGAAAUGCGUAGAUAUGUGGAGGAACACCGAUGGCGAAGGCAGCCCCCUGGGUCAAGAUUGACGCUCAUGCACGAAAGCGUGGGGAGCAAACAGGAUUAGAUACCCUGGUAGUCCACGCCCUAAACGAUGUCUACUAGUUGUCGGGUCUUAAUUGACUUGGUAACGCAGCUAACGCGUGAAGUAGACCGCCUGGGGAGUACGGUCGCAAGAUUAAAACUC
rnacentral:rRNA from 1 species